GCACGCGCGAGGCGGCCCCGCUCGCGAGGAGGAGGAGGAGGAGGAUGUGGCGCGCGGAGGGGAAAUGGCUGCCGAAAACAAGCCGGAAGAUGAUCAUGGUAACAGCAAUGGCAGUCAUGUGAAAAUAUUUCUACCCAAGAAGCUGCUGGAAUGCCUCCCAAAAUGUUCCUCUCUUCCCAAGGAAAGGCACCGCUGGAACACUAAUGAGACUCGUGCGUCCAGACGCCAUGUUGGAUUUCUUGUUAUUAUUGUGAACUUGACCCCUGAACCCUGACUUCCUGCAUUACCUUGGUAACCAUUCCAUUUUUUUAAUUUCAUUGCAUUUAAGAUUUUAUUUUGAUUUAGAAUUUUUUUUUUACUGAUUUGCUUAAUUCACAUGCAUGUUAUAUUUAGUUCAUGAAACAUGUCUAAGUCUGUGAAGGCGAUAGCCGCUAAUUGUAAUUGUAAUUAAAACAGCAGAUUUCUUUUCUGUAUUUUCUAGUGUUAAUAUUAUUUAUUAUGUGUUGUUUUUUCUGUUUUUAUGUUAAUCUUGUGAACCUUCAGUUUCAUCAUUCUCAACUUUAGCCCAAUAAACUGUUUAUAAUAUUUUCA